rnacentral:rRNA from 1 species
UGGGGAAUAUUGCGCAAUGGGGGAAACCCUGACGCAGCAACGCCGCGUGCGGGAUGAAGGCCUUCGGGUUGUAAACCGCUUUCAGCAGGGAAGAUAAUGACGGUACCUGCAGAAGAAGCCCCGGCUAACUACGUGCC